UGGGUAGGCCAGACGGUCGCGUAAGGCAGACUGCCUUAUGAGGAAAGUCCGGGCUCCACAGGGCAAGGAUGCCGGAUAACGUCCGGCGUGGGUAACCAUAGGGAAAGUGCAACAGAAACACACCGCCGAAACAGGUAAUGCUGUGGUAAGGUUGAAAUGGUGAGGUAAGAGCUCACCGGCGUCAUGGAGACAUGGCGGCCGUGUAAACCCCAUCCGGUGCAAGGUCGAAGGGGGCAUUUAUGGCAGUUGCCCGCUGCCGCCCCAAAGGUGUACCGCAGGAGCGGAUCAGCAAUGGUUCGCCUAGAUAGAUGAUCGUCUAAUACAGAACCCGGCUUACAGACCUACCCAUUUU
rnacentral:RNase_P_RNA from 1 species